GACGAACGCUGGCGGCGUGCUUAACACAUGCAAGUCGAACGGACAGGCCCUGCUUUUGUGGGGUGCUCGAUUGGCGAACGGGUGUGUAACACGUGAGUAACCUGCCCUUGACUUUGGGAUAAAUUCAGGAAAAUGCGGCUAAUACCGGAUAGGAGCUCCUGAUGCAUGGUGGGGGUUGGAAAGUUUCGGCGGUUGGGGCUGGACUCGCAGCUUAUCAGCUUGUUUGUCGGGUAGUGGCUUACCAAGGCUUUGACGGGUAGCCGGCCUGAGAGGGUGACCGGGCACAAGGGGACUGAGGGACGGAGCAGUCUCCUACCGUAGGCAGCAGUCGGGAAUAUGGCACAACGGGGCGGAGUGUGUGGUAGCAGUGUCGCGAGCGUAAAGACGUGUUACGAGGUAAAAACAGCUUUGGACUGUACCGAAGAGUGAGUGACGGUAAUUAGUAAAGAAGCACCGGCUAACUACGUG
rnacentral:rRNA from 1 species